GCACGAGAAAGUGGAGCAAUCCAUGAGUACAGUGGCGUACGGGUGAGUAACACGUGGAUCAUCUACCUUUUAGUGGGGAAUACCCCCGGGAAACUGGGGAUAAUACCGCAUAAGCUCGUAAGAGGAAAGCAGCAAUGCGCUGAAAGAGGAGUCCGCGGCUGAUUAGCUAGUUGGUGAGGUAAUGGCUCACCAAGGCGAAGAUCGGUAGCCGGCCUGAGAGGGCACACGGCCACACUGGCACUGAAACACGGGCCAGACUCCUACGGGAGGCAGCAGUGGGGAAUCUUGCACAAUGGAGGAAACUCUGAUGCAGCGACGCCGCGUGAGCGAUGAAGCCCUUCGGGGUGUAAAGCUCUUUCGACGGGAACGAUAAUGACGGUACCCGAAGAAGAAGCUGCGGCUAACUACGUGCCAGCAGCCGCGGUAAUACGUAGGCAGCAAGCGUUGUUCGGAAUUACUGGGCGUAAAGAGUGUGUAGGCGGUGCUCUAAGUCUGUUGUGAAAUCUCCCGGCUUAACCGGGAGGGUGCGGCGGAAACUGGAGUGCUUGAGGGUGGGAGAGGUAAGCGGAAUUCCUGGUGUAGCGGUGAAAUGCGUAGAUAUCAGGAGGAACACCUGUGGUGUAGACAGCUUACUGGACCACUUCUGACGCUGAGACACGAAAGCGUGGGUAGCAAACAGGAUUAGAUACCCUGGUAGUCCACGCCCUAAACGAUGCAUACUUGGGUGUGAGCGAUUCAUUUCGUUCGUGCCGGAGCUAACG
rnacentral:rRNA from 1 species